AGUUUGAACACUUGCCUUGAUCAAACCAUCCAAUAUUCAAGGUAAAAUCAACACUGCUAUAAUGGAUGAUACAAAAUAGAAAACACUACAAAUGACCAAAAGGUAUCAGAUUAAUUAUCAAGACAGUAUAGAUUACCAAAAUAAGGUCAUUUUCAAAAUUCUCAACAGAUACAAAACUGUUGUCAAGUAUAUGACCCUGAUCUAUAGGACUAACUGAGAAAUUAGAGAUCAUUUCUGUCCCGACCUUUGGCACAACCCUUAUCUUAUUAUAUAUUCAUUAAUGAUGUAAGGUUGUUUGCAAUAAUAUAUUUAACAUAAAUAUAACAGUUAGUAAGAAACUUUAAGAACAAAAAGGCGGCAUUACUUACAUCCAUUCAAAACACAUCAAACCAAAAUAACAAAUAUCUCAAUAGCACUUUAUAAUAGAUCGCACCAUAUUGUUGCAAUAAAGAUACCUUUAAAUGCAAAAGAAUUGAUUUUCAAGAUGAAAUGGAAAAUACUACAUUUAACAUUUCUUAGAAGCAUGUAUGUGGUUUGUGUCCCAAUGAAUCUAUAAUUUUGGCAUCCUAGCAGGAAGUGCUUGAUGUUCUCUACUUGUCAAUAACAGACAAGUUAUAAAACAAGAUCAAGGAAGAAAACAUCAAACACUUUGUAAGUUACAUUGUACAACAUAUUGUUUUCUAAAUGUUUACAUGAGGUAAGAUCCAUAAGGGUAUUAGUAAAUGCAUAAUAUUGACAACAACUGCUGCUACCUAAUAAUAGUAUUAGCCUAUAAUUAAAUAUUGCACUUGAUCUUUGGAAAAAUGGAAGAUGAUCAACUUUAAUUUACAGCAGCAUCUUUCAUGAAUUGAAACGAAAUUUAAAAUUGUAUACUAAAAAAUAGAAUUAUGGUAAAUCUUUGUUCCAAACUGUUCAAGACUAAAAUGCAUUUUAUGAAUAAGUCAAUUUAUUUUUUCAGUCACUGAAACCACUAUCAAAUUAUCAAUAUCUACUUAUAAGAUUCACAAAUUAUCAUACUAAAUGUGUUUCUAUAUACGAUAUCACAGAUGAAAAACAUAAUCAUUUUUGUUCAGACUGGUUGGUGGGACAAGAAAAUAAUAAAGUAGUGUGUGAGUAUGUUAAAUGAUUAGAAUUGAGCAUAUUUUGGAAAAACUGAUCACUCAAAAAAAAAAUCUUUUCACAGAUGAUUACAUAAGCAAACAUAAUUCAUAUAUCUUCUCACAGAUUAUUUACAUUGAAUAAAUAAAUUCAACAUUACUUUUUUAAUUAAAUAUUCAAUUAACAUGAUUAUAAAGUUUAACCAGUUUUAGAUGAGAAAAAAAGAAACAUAAGAGAUUGACAGGAAUAAAAAAAACUGAUCAUAUUAUUUUUGAGAACAAGAGAGUAAACAAACAACUCUAACGUUUCUGAAUCUUCUCAUAGAUCCCCAAGAGAUAAGAAGUUGACUAAAUCAAAGUAGUUCAAUCUUAUGCUUAAAAAACAACGACUUAUACUUUUGUAUGCCAGAAAAUUUGUCGACAAAAGAUUCAUCAGAGAAGCCAAGAUACCAUAAGUACAAAGCUGAAGAGCAUUGAGAACUACAAUUUGUGAAAGUUUUUGAGGAAUUCAGCUAAUAUACCUACAUUUGAAUAAGGUGUUAAAAAUUCAUUGUCUGGGUUUGGCUUUAUUUUUUGUCCUUUUUUGGUAUUAUCAGAUAAUCAACAUUUGUAUAAGGUUUUGGAUUUUCAAUAUUUAUAGUCUUGAGCAUCACUGGAGAGACAUUUCUCUAAAUGUGUGUAUAGUACAAUUAGGUCAAUAUUGUUAGUAUUAUCAUAAUUAUUGCGAACCCAAUGAAAGUUUACCAUAGAUUCACCUGAUAGUUACCUGUCCAUUUAACUUUUGGCAGUUCUAUUGUCCCAUCUAACAAGUACACAGGUAUUGUUCUCUGUGUAGUUUAUUCACUGGGACUUUUAGAUUUCUUCUAAGAGAAAUAUAUCACUCAUUGAUUAAUUCUACCUUAGUAAAAAAAUAUCUGCUAAAUUGAUAGAAAUAACAUGUUUACCAUUAAAAAUGCAUGUGAUUUCGUGUUUAUUCAAUAUUAAUAAAAAAAAAUUCAAUCUGUUCAAAAUAAACACUAAUUUAAUCAUAAAAAGUUGAUUUUUUAAAAACUUGAGCAUUGUUUCUAUUGAAAUUUUCAGUUUUUCAGUUUUUGUUAAGUUAUAGAAUACUUUUUUAAAAGAAGGCCUUAAUAUGAAUAUCAUCAUUUUUAGGGUUUUUAUGUCAAACGUUUGUUUGAAAUCUAGGAAUAAUGUUGACUUCCCUCAGUCCUCCUUUAUUCGGACCCAGAACUGACAGUUUACACAGCAAAUGUUUCCUUUUCUGAAACAUAUCUUGUUCUUACUGCUGCUGCAUGGGUACUUCCCAAUUCAAUGUAUGUAGUAGCUUGUAACUUCACUUUAUUGUCCAAAAACACAAACAUUGAAGGAUGAAAUGUAUAAAACAGUUAAUCAUAAUUCCUGUGGAAUGAUUCUGGUCCAUUACUGGUACGUUUUGUGGUAGAUAGUUUCAGCCCAUAUGCAUGGUUUGAACAAAGCACUGUGUCAUCAACAUAUGUGGAUAAAACAUAAUCAGCAAAAGUUCUAUUUUCCUCUCUUUUGGCAUAUCUUGUAUUAAAUAUUCAGCAAAGCAAUAAGUUUUAUUCUCUCUCUAUACAUUGACUGUCUUAUGCAUUUUAAGUCAUUUUUCUGCAGAUGCUCAUCUUCUUGGUGAAAUAUAUCCAAACAUAUGAUACUUUUUAAGCCAAAAAUAAGAAUAAAUAUAUAUUAAUCAUGAAUAUUUAUGAUAGAUAUGUGUACUGGUAAAUUGGCACAAGUGAGUUCUGAAAAUAUUGGCGCAAUUGAUACAUUUGGAAAACAAAAUUUGGCACAAUGAUACCCCUGAAAAACAGUAAUUGGGCAAAAGGACUGCUGCCAAACUUUCAUAGGGUUCGCAAUAACAGUACCCAUGCAAUGUCUUUUGCAUAUAAAUAUUUGCUGACUUCCAAGACAAUAAGAUUGGCAAAUUAUAAAAUUAAAUAUGAAGGUAACUUUAAAAAUAGUCAAAGUGUAGAAUGCUUUACAAAAGUUGAUCAAAAUACAAAGAAUAUAAAAAAAUGUUUUCCCAUUGACUUACUAAAGAAUGUUUAGUACUUGUUUUGUACAGCUGUGUAACGUUACAAUAAAAAUAGUACUAAAUGCCAAAGAUAGUUACUGUAAUCUCACUUCAUUCUGAAUUUCUUUUAUCACAGUUCGUUAUAUAUAAAGUUACAACAUAAUUAUUUAUUAAACAAAACAGACUAGACACAAAAAUCAAUUACAAGGAGGUAUGUAGUUUGCUGAAUAGAUAAAAUAUUGAUAUUUGAAAAAAAAAUACACCAUUACAUAAUAGCACACUCUUUUCAUCCUUCUAGAUUGCGGUUAGUCUAUACUAGUAAAGCUUUAAAGUUACAUGUGAUGUUAAUCUUAAUUCAUAAGUCAAAAGCUAUGAACAGAUUUGUUACCAACUUGAUGAAAUUCUUUUUCUGAAUCCACCUGCCAAUAUUAAUCCUAAAGACACACUGACUGUAGCAGUGAUUUUCUAAUAGGAUACUUAUAUACUUAAUCAACUAGUCUGAAAGUAGGUAGGUCUAAUUCUAAAAACAAGACUAGAACAACCAUAAACUUUCAAUUGAAAGCCCAUCUGAAAAGCAAGUUAAUUUCAAAACAAUCAGUUAUAAAAGUUAUUGACAGCGGUGUCACAAGUGUCUGACAAUAUUUCAAUACUACUGUCAUUGUUUGGUGUACUGACAGCUGUCCCACUCCCUGAACUUGGAUUACUGUGGCCAUUUGUCUGAAUACUUGAAAGACGUGCAGAUAGUUCUAGUUUUGGCACUAUUGGGGGGAACACUGGGGUACUUGCUGGAGUUGUUUUGACUGGACUUGCACUCUGAACUACUUCAGGGAACACGCGUGAGCACUUGUGCACUCAUCAUUGUACAUAUUAGAUAUACUUUUGUUUUCUUAAAUCAAAGUUGAAUUUGAACUCUUAUAAUCAGAAUUUAUUGAUUUUAAUUUUUUAAUCAGCAUUAAUUUAUUUGAAAUAAGUCUUCAUUAAUAUUCAUGACUUAUCACAUAUAUAUAACAUUCCUAAAUAUAGUAUAUCACAUACACACGUGUUGUGAAGUUUAUCUAUCAUUGUUGUUGUUGCUUUUAUUUACAGUUUUGAAUUUGUUUUAGUAUUUAUUAUGUGUACAUACAUGUAAAUAUGACUUAAAUAUUAAUGGUGAGUUUCUGAUGGAAAAGUAAAUGUGCUUUAUGAUAGUGAACAACAUUCAGGUUUAAGAGAUUGCUUGGAUUUCUGAUAAGGAAAUGUGACCAACCCAUAGAUAGAAGAAAGUAGAUAGUUUUAAAGUAGAAUUGAUUGGAAUUUAGUUACAGCUUUGUAUGGGUAUAAUUUUUGUUUGAUUUCUUUCAGGGGAGGGGGAUUUAAAAGGAAGAUUUUUUCUUUCUCCUAAUACCCUUCAGUCUGUACAUAAUAUAAUAUUAAGAAUUAAAAGAAAAAUCCUGUGACAGUCAUUAGAGUAAUUAAAGGGUAGAAUAAAAAUAUCUUUUCAUAAAAUCUUGUCAUCUUGUUAAGAUGGUACACUGAAUAGCAGUGCAAUAUUUUGACAGAGUGAAUUCUUUAAGUCUAUGAAGUUGUUGGAAAAAAAAUUAUUUGCACUGGUAAUUUCUGAUAACAUUCCAUAAUUUAUAAAAGUAAUUUAAAAAAAAAAUCAAAUACCGGUAUGUUUUUUGAUUCUAUCAAAAGUAUUGAUUUAAAACAGAGUUUAAAGGGAAAAAAAUGUUUUUAAUAUUUUUUUUAAAUGUCCCUUUAUAUUUUUGGGGACAUUUCUUUCAGAAUUCAGUAACUUAUUCAUUGUUAUAUUUUUAACCGUGUCGAUAUAGAAGCUGUGAUUAUAUAUUUAUGUAGACCAACCAUGUUAAAGAUUGCUUAUUUGUGAGUAUGAGAGUUUUAUGGCUGAUAUAUAUGGUUGUUUUGUAUUGAACUUGCAUUUUUAUGAAACUGAAACAAAUAAAAAUC
rnacentral:lncRNA from 1 species